rnacentral:rRNA from 1 species
GAUGAACGCUGGCGGCGUGCCUAAUACAUGCAAGUCGAGCGAACAGACGAGGAGCUUGCUCCUCUGAUGUUAGCGGCGGACGGGUGAGUAACACGUGGAUAACCUACCUAUAAGACUGGGAUAACUUCGGGAAACCGGAGCUAAUACCGGAUAAUAUUUUGAACCGCAUGGUUCAAUAGUGAAAGACGGUCUUGCUGUCACUUAUAGAUGGAUCCGCGCUGCAUUAGCUAGUUGGUAAGGUAACGGCUUACCAAGGCAACGAUGCGUAGCCGACCUGAGAGGGUGAUCGGCCACACUGGAACUGAGACACGGUCCAGACUCCUACGGGAGGCAGCAGUAGGGAAUCUUCCGCAAUGGGCGAAAGCCUGACGGAGCAACGCCGCGUGAGUGAUGAAGGUCCUCGGAUCGUAAAACUCUGUUAUUAGGGAAGAACAAAUGUGUAAGUAACUAUGCACGUCUUGACGGUACCUAAUCAGAAAGCCACGGCUAACUACGUG